GAUUGCUAAUACCGCAUGUGAUCAUGGGAUUUAGAAACCUAUGAUUAAAGCAGUAAUGCGCUUCGGGAGGGACCUGCUUCCCAUCAGCUAGUUGGUGAGGUAAUGGCCCACCAAGGCUACGACGGGUAAGGGACCUGAGAGGGUGGUCCCUCGCAAUGGCACUGAAACACGGGCCAUACACCUACGGGUGGCAGCAGUAGGGAAUAUUGGGCAAUGGGCGAAAGCCUGACCCAGCAACGCCGCGUGCACGAUGAAGGCCUUCGGGUCGUAAAGUGCUUUUCUGAGGGAUGAGUAAGGACAGUACCUCAGGAAUAAGCCUCGGCUAACUACGUGCCAGCAGCCGCGGUAAAACGUAGGAGGCGAGCGUUAUCCGGAUUUACUGGGCGUAAAGCGUGUGUAGGCGGUUCGGCAAGUUGGAUGUGAAAGCUCCUGGCUUAACUAGGAGAGGUCGUUCAAUACUACCGAACUUGAGGG
rnacentral:rRNA from 1 species